GAUUUUUCACUAAUCACUAGAAAUUUAUAUUUAUAAGUUUAGGAUAUCAAAUUUAUUCAAAUAUUUAGUAUAAGAACCAAAUAAACCGAUUGUCCGCGGUAAACCGCGGGUUAAAACCUAGUUACCUAUAUAGUUACGUCCAAUUUGAAUAUUUUUGUUGGGUCAUCUA
rnacentral:sRNA from 1 species